rnacentral:lncRNA from 1 species
AAUGGAUACUUUGAGGACAAGUGAAUUUUAUUUAUUAUAUAUUUUAUGUUUUUACACAACCCUGAUUAAUACAGCAGGUAAUAUUUUAAUUUUUAAAACAUAUGUAUCCUUCGAUGUUGUUUUGUCUGUAACGUUUAUAUUUAUAUUUGACACUAUAACAUCUACUGUAAUUAAUUUUUCUUUCUAUCUUUUAAUUGUCAAAUAAAAAGAUAAUUGUCAAAUAAAGAGAUUGUCAAUGAAGGAAGAACGUGAAUUUUUGCUUAAUUAAAAGUAAAUACUGAUGCUUUGUCAAUAUCAUAUAUAGUUUUGUUUUAUUAAAAACAAACCUGCCAGAAAUAUGACAUAUGCAGAUGGAAAUACCAACAGGUCACCAGUCUUCAAAUGAUUUAACAAGAAUACAAAUAAUGAAUUGAUACAGAUUAAAACCAUGUAUUCUCAUAAUACAUGUAGUUCUACGUACAUCCUGUAAAACCUUAAUGGUAAAAUCAAUCUCGGGAGGUGAGGUAAUAUCCUGAAACAUUCUUCAGUCAAUUCAAUGAAAAACAUUGAAUUUAUACUCGUGCUAAACUAUAUUUAUUAUAAAAUUCGGUAGCUGCAAUAAGUAAAAUUAUUAAAACACUAAACUACGAGUAAAAUUCAAAACGGAAAGUCAUAUUACUGACUUGGUAAAGCCAUUUUUGUAAGUGGAAAAGGAUGAUUUAAAACUGGUUGUAUAGCUAGCAAUGAGUUGCAGUAAGCGUUUAAUAUUUCUAAUAUUAUCUAUAAUUUCAGAAUAUGUUACGACGAUACGUUAUUCAGAUGAAUAUACAGCAAUCAUCUUAUGUGGGAAUAAUUCUCAAAUACAAAUAAUGAACAUUGAUGUACAGGAAGAGGAAACAACAUGUCGCAAAAGCACAUGUUAUUUAAAUUCCAUUGAUAAACAUUCUAUACAAGAUAAUUGUAAUGGUGAAAAUUCCUGUUUGGUUGAUUUUAACUUUACAUCCACCUGUUUACCGGAGUUUAGAUACAUGAAUUUGUCAUACACAUGUAGACACG